GACUGCGGAGAUCAUUAAAAAAUAAUCACUGUAUUGUGAUUUUAAUAAUCAUCCUACCCUUUGUGAAUUUGUUUUGUAAAGAAAAUUUAUGUUGUCUAUCCCUGGUGGUUUUUUGGAAAAGUUGAAAAACUUUUUCGAAUCCUCAGGGACUAGGCUUUCAUAGACCUUUUUUUUAAAUUAAACUUUUUGUAUUCAUUUGUCUAAAAUUUAUUUUUAAUAAUUUAAAAACAACUUUUGACAAUGGAUCUCUUGGUUCUCGCAACGAUGAAGAACGCAGCAAAAUGCGUUAAGUAAUGUGAAUUGCAGAAUACGUGAAUCAUCAAAUCUUCGAACGCAUAUUGCACUUUUCUAGUUUACUAGAAAAGUAUGUCUGUUUGAGUAUCAGUAAAAUAUUCUCAUAAAAAACAUUGUUUUUUAUGGUUAUGAGUGUUUUACAACGAUAAACAAGUUGUUUCACUUUAAAUUGAUUUUUAAAAGCCAAUUUGGUUUUAUCUAAUAAAAUUGGAUAAAAUUUUCCCGUAAAAAGGAAUAAACUUUUCAGUUUUAAAAGGUAAACUUUAGUUGAGCCUAAUAAAAGGAAAUUUAACAAAAUAACUUGAUCUCAAAUCAGAUAAGAGUACCCGCUGAACUUAAGCAUAUCAAUAAGCGGAGGA
rnacentral:rRNA from 1 species